GAUGAACGCUGGCGGCGUGCCUAAUACAUGCAAGUCGAGCGAACAGACGAGGAGCUUGCUCCUCUGACGUUAGCGGCGGACGGGUGAGUAACACGUGGAUAACCUACCUAUAAGACUGGGAUAACUUCGGGAAACCGGAGCUAAUACCGGAUAAUAUAUUGAACCGCAUGGUUCAAUAGUGAAAGACGGUUUUGCUGUCACUUAUAGAUGGAUCCGCGCCGCAUUAGCUAGUUGGUAAGGUAACGGCUUACCAAGGCAACGAUGCGUAGCCGACCUGAGAGGGUGAUCGGCCACACUGGAACUGAGACACGGUCCAGACUCCUACGGGAGGCAGCAGUAGGGAAUAUUGGGCAAUGGGCGAAAGCCUGACCCAGCAAUGCCGCGUGAGUGAAGAAGGUCUUCGGAUCGUAAAGCACUUUUAGUUGGGAAGAAGAACAGUGAGUUAAUACCUGGCUGUUUUGACGGUACCAACAGAAUAAGCACCGGCUAACUUCGUG
rnacentral:rRNA from 1 species